UACGUAGGUGGCAAGCGUUAUCCGGAUUCACUGGGUGUAAAGGGAGCGUAGACGGCGACGCAAGUCUGGAGUGAAAGCCCGGGGCCCAACCCCGGGACUGCUCUGGAAACUGCGGCGCUGGAGUACGGGAGGGGCAGGCGGAAUUCCUGGUGUAGCGGUGAAAUGCGUAGAUAUCAGGAGGAACACCGGUGGCGAAGGCGGCCUGCUGGACUGCAACUGACGUUGAGGCCCGAAAGCGUGGGGAGCAAACAGG
rnacentral:rRNA from 1 species